GGGCAGGUUGUACAGCGGAGUCAUCCUGAAGCAGGCCACCACCGCACGCCGUCUCUGCUUGGACAGCAGUUUGUGCCAAACCAUCUUUUUGGAUUUGAACGGAUGCUCGGUCUGACAGAGAGACAGAAAGACAGCUUUACUUCAUUCUAGUUCUUUCUGCACGGUCAUGUUGGGCUUACCGUGUCCGUAAGUGGAGUUACUCACCACCUCGAUGUGGUAAAGCACUGCUGAAACCUCCUGUACUCUUUUCACCACUUUCUCUGGAGCGUCGGCAUCCUCCGCCUUUCCUGCCAUCAUCUUAUACAGAGCCAUCUGCCAACGCAUGGAGGGAUUCUCCACCUGAGAGACAGAGAGAGAUUUAGAGACAGAGACUUGACUUUUACAAUCUUUUAUACAGUGAGAGAGACAGAGAGAGAGAGACAGAGAGACAUUGUGAGACAGAGAGAGAGAGAGAGAUUGUGAGACAGAGAGAGAGAGAGAUUGUGAGACACAGAGAGAGAUUGUGAGACAGAGAGAGAAAGAGAUUAGAUGUGAGACAGAGAGAGAGAUUGUGAGACAGAGAGAGAUUGUGAGACAGAGAGAGAGAUUGUGAGACAGAGAGAGAGAGAUUGUGAGACAGAGAGAGAGAUUGUGAGACGAGAGAGAGAGAUUGUGAGACAGAGAGAGAGAGAUUGUGAGACAGAGAGAGAGAUUGUGAGACAGAGAGAGAGAGAUUGUGAGACAGAGAGAGAGAUUGUGAGACAGAGAGAGAGAGAUUGUGAGACAGAGCAGAACAAAAAGAAUUUUACAGAAAUAAAGAGAGAGAGAGAGAGACAGAAAGGAAGGCGACGCGGUCACCUUUCCCUGAAGAUGCAGGUUGUUCUGUAGGAACUCUCUCACCUCUUCAUCCGUGUCUUUCUGUUAAUAGAAGCACACGAGCAGGUUAUUGAUGUUUAUGACAGUGCAGGUUUUACACAGAGAAGAACACAGAUCGUCGGGAGAGCGGACACACUGCAGUACACGGUGACAGACACACUUCUCAUCCUGCAGACUGAAGGAACACAGAGGAACAUUACUACAGGUGAACUGUCUGGUUUCUGUGGCGACUGUACCAGAGAGUAGCGGAACUUGGCGAGGUUAAUGAGCUCAUGAUCGGCCGGAGAGCACAUGUUGAGACCGAUAGGGAGCAUCUUCUUCAGAGCGGCCACGAUCAGAGAGGUCUGCACAGAGUAACGGUCCCCUCGCCUCUUCUUCUUAGUACGUUCUACAUCAGAGCCACCAGCCUGGGGCGAUAUUUUAAAAAAUAACAAUACAGGACAUAAAAGAGAACACAGAGAAGCAGAUUUUUUUCCUCAUGAAAAUGGGACAGAUCUCAAAGACUCGUGGCAAAAGACAUAAAAUCUCAGACUUGUACAGAGUCAUGGCACCAAAAAAAACCAAAAAAAAACUGCCUUUAAUAAAGCAAACUCAAAGCAGAACACAAUUCCAGAACUCAAACUUCUAAAUACUGGAGCAGUUUCAGCAGAUCUUCAGUCCAACACUUCCUGCCUCACACCUCAGAGCCACAACGCUACAGCUGACCUCAGACUUCUUAUAUAUGACUUUCGGAACAUUUUUCAUCAUUAAUUUACCAAUUAAUUCAUUCACUUCCUCUACACUAUCUCUACAAUACUAUAUUCUAAGCAGAGCUGGCACAGAGACGUUACCCAGGACUCAGAAUGGAGUAAUGGAGGAAAAAAACAAUGAAUUUUAUCCAGUAACAAAUGGAAAAGUUUGGAAUUGAAUUUAGAAUUUUUUUUUUGGUUACUGGAAACAUUAUAUAACAUAAAGACACUUGAUAGCAUUUCUUUUGUUAGGAUUGAUUUUAUUACAUUUACAUUUUGUACUUUAUUAUAUUUGCAACUGAACUGAUUUUGCUGUGUGUGAAAGUUAAGCAUUUCAGUGAAUAUUUCAUUUUAAAGCUUUAGUCGUUUAAAAAUAUACCAGAUGAAUUUGGGUGGGUAUGGAUAUGGACCGAUACUCAGACUUCUGCAUCAGUGUCGAAAUCAGAAGAGAGAAAGUGGCACUGUGCAGUCUCUAAUUCUAGUACAUACUAAGAAUGGAUAGAUACAGUGGCUGUAAAUAAUCUGUCACAAAUCUAAUAGUUGUGUCCUCAAAUGACAUAUCAUGCACUAUACACUUAAA
ensembl:lncRNA